rnacentral:rRNA from 1 species
AAAUUGAAGAGUUUGAUCAUGGCUCAGAUUGAACGCUGGCGGCAGGCCUAACACAUGCAAGUCGAACGGUAACAGGAAACAGCUUGCUGUUUCGCUGACGAGUGGCGGACGGGUGAGUAAUGUCUGGGAAACUGCCUGAUGGAGGGG